CCUACGGGAGGCAGCAGUGGGGAAUCUUGCACAAUGGAGGAAACUCUGAUGCAGCGAUGCCGCGUGAGUGAAGAAGGCCUUUGGGUUGUAAAGCUCUUUUGUAGGGGAAGAUAAUGACUGUACCCUAAGAAUAAGGUCCGGCUAACUUCGUGCCAGCAGCCGCGGUAAUACGAAGGGACCUAGCGUAGUUCGGAAUUACUGGGCGUAAAGCGCGCGUAGGCCGUUGAGUUAGUUAAUUGUGAAAUCCCAAAGCUUAACUUUGGAACUGCAAUUAAAACUGCUCGACUAGAGUUUGAUAGAGGAAAGCGGAAUACAUAGUGUAGAGGUGAAAUUCGUAGAUAUUAUGUAGAACACCAGUUGCGAAGGCGGCUUUCUGGAUCAACACUGACGCUGAGGCGCGAAAGUAUGGGUAGCAAAGAGGAUUAGAUACCCUCGUAGUCCAUACCAUAAACGAUGAUUGCUAGAUGUUGGAAAUUUAUUUUCAGUAUCGCAGCUAACGCAUUAAGCAAUCCGCCUGGGGAUACGACCGCAAGGUUAAAACUCAAAUGAAUUGACCGGNUGAGACGNGCGAGACGACGACGAGGAGAGG
rnacentral:rRNA from 1 species